AACAGAGACUGGCAAACAUAGGGACAACACAUGCCCAAGUUCAUUCAUUACAAAAGUUAUCUACAAAUGAUUCCCGUUUCAUCUGGACCUCUGUAACUACUCCAAUUUGGGAAAUACGAAUGCUUGUCAUGUGAGUGACCCAGCAGCAGUGCUAUGAGAGCUAGCAGCAUGCCGCUUCUUUAAUGACCUAUGAGAGCUGUGGACCCAGGCCAUACACGGGGAACCUGAGAACCUGCUGAGCAACUUCUGUUGAUCUAAGCCAGCAGGUGAGCUGCAUCAAUUCACAGGAGUCCGUCAUAGACCUCCUCAGCCUGAGAAACUUAACCUCUCGAUGAAAACCGCAAUGUCCUGACCUAAAACUACAGAUAUGAACAACAGCAAAUAAAACACAGGAUAUACU